rnacentral:rRNA from 1 species
GACGAACGCUGGCGGCGUGCUUAACACAUGCAAGUCGAGCGGUAAGGCCCGUUUCGGGGGUACACGAGCGGCGAACGGGUGAGUAACACGUGGGUGACCUGCCCUCAGCUCUGGGAUAAGCCUGGGAAACCGGGUCUAAUACUGGAUAUGACUCCAUGACGCAUGUUGUGGGGUGGAAAGCCUUGUGCGGCUGAGGAUGGGCCCGCGGCCUAUCAGCUUGUUGGUGGGGGAUGGCCUACCAAGGCGACGACGGGUAGCCGGCCUGAGAGGGCGACCGGCCACACUGGGACUGAGACACGGCCCAGACUCCUACGGGAGGCAGCAGUGGGGAAUCUUGCGCAAUGGGCGAAAGCCUGACGCAGCGACGCCGCGUGA